rnacentral:rRNA from 1 species
AAACCAACAGGGAUUGCCUCAGUAGCGGCGAGUGAAGCGGCAAGAGCUCAGAUUUGAAAUCGCAGCGCAUGCUGCGAGUUGUAGAUUGCAGGUGGGAGAGUCUGCGUAGGCCGGUGUCGAAGUCCCUUGGAACAGGGCGCCACUGAGGGUGAGAGCCCCGUGCGAUGCCACGCUCUACGUUUUGUACUCCCCUCUGACGAGUCGAGUUGUUUGGGAAUGCAGCUCUAAGUGGGUGGUAAAUUCCAUCUAAGGCUAAAUACUGGCGAGAGACCGAUAGCGAACAAGUACUGUGAAGGAAAGAUGAAAAGCACUUUGAAAAGAGAGUGAAACAGCACGUGAAAUUGUUGAAAGGGAGGGUAUUGGGCCCGACAUGGGAAUCGCGCACCGCUGCUCCUUGUGGGCGGCGCUCUGGGCUUUUCCUGGGCCAGCAUCGGUUCUUGCUGCAGGAGAAGGGGCUGUGGAAUGUGGCUGCCG